GGCGCUGUGGCUGAGUGGUAAAGCUCUUUCUUCCAAACCGAAGGUUGCAGGUUCGAAUCCUGCUUAAGACG
rnacentral:tRNA from 1 species